AACGCACAUUGCGCCCCUUGGCAUUCCGAGGGGCACAUCUGUUCGAGCGUCAUUACACCCCUCAAGCUCUGCUUGGUCUUGGGCGCCCUCGUCCCCUAGCCCCUCCCUGGGGCAGGCGGACGCGCCUCAAACUCCUCGGCGGUCCACACCGGCUUCGAGCGUAGCAAUUACACCUCGCUCUUGGAGUCCUGGCAUGUGCCCGGCCGUAUGACAGCAAACUAUUUCAUUUUGAAAGGUUGACCUCGGAUCAGAUGGGGAUACCCGCUGAACUUAA
rnacentral:misc_RNA from 1 species